rnacentral:lncRNA from 1 species
CAGUAUCAACAAUAACAAGGCACAACAAUUACCCAGAAUCUUGAUCAUACAAUAAUUGCCCACUACCUUGACCAACAAUAAUUACCUGUAUCUUGAUCAUACAAUAAUUACCUGAAUCUUGAUCAUACAAUAAUUACCCAGAAUCUUGAUCAUACACUAAUUAGCCAUUAAACUGUAUAUGAAAUAACACCAAAUCCCCAAACCCUAACAUUCCUUCUCUAAAGAGAUGAUCAAAGAGUUACAAAGAUUUGAAAGUAGAUAACAUGAGAUUUAUAUAAUUCUGGCCAAGAAAUCAAAAACCAAACACAUAUGCCACUACAGACACAUAAAAAAAAAAGACUUUUCGAAGUGUGGAAUCCCAGAAUGUAAUCAUUGCAGAAGCGAUCACUCCCCAUAGGAAGGCAUCAGCUCAUCUUCCGAAGAGAAUCAUAUACAAUAAUUACCCAUUAUCUUCAUCAAACAGUAAUUACAUAUGUCUUAAUCAACAAUAAUUACCAAUUACCUUGAUCAAACAGUAAUUACUCAUAUCUUGAACAAACUAUAAUUACCCAUAUCAACAAUAGUUACCCAGAUCAAACGAAAAUUAGCGAGUAUCAACAAUAACAAUAAGGCAACAAUAAUGACCCAUAUCAACAAUAACGAUAAGGCACAAUAAUUACGCAGAAUCUUGAUCAUACAAUAAUCACCUAGAAUUUUGAUCAAACACUAAUUACCCAAUAUCUUGAUCAACAACAAUAAGGCCGAAAUAACACCAAAUCAUAGGGGGGAAAAGUGACGCGGGAUAGAACAAUUGUCUUUAUAGGGUUGAAGGGAAU